GAGAAAAAAGGGAAAGUAGUCAAGUAGUCUCUCAAACUCAUUUGUGAGAAAAAGAGUAAAAGAGAGAGGCACUUUCAAAGACCGCUAGGCACUGUCACUCAUUUUGGUGCCAACUACUUUUACUACAACAACAGACGUCCUUAACCCGUCCGUCUCAUUCCGCUCCAACCGUGGUAUGGAGAGAGAGCUGGCGCAGACGUGAAAUAACCCAGGGUUGUACAGGCUCUCGUCAGCGGAAGCCAUUCUUUGAGCUAGGAAAGACCUCCGGAGCUUCAAGAACUUCAUUACCAGUUCAUAACAAGCGCUCAAUUUCCUUCUUUUCAACUUUUUUUUUUUUGCUUUCACAGAGAUUCAAGAUCCAGCGAUGGCCCCUUUCCCCAGCUAAACCCCCACCCGCUCCACCACCCACCCCCCCAAGUUCGAAUUAAGAAUUUAUUUUAACCAGCGAGCGGCUUCAGUCGACACAUAUCGGUGAGGCCUGAUCAAAGGUGUGCACGCUCCUUUAUCAGAGUGAGAGGAGCCUGUCAGAAAUAAGAGGACAUUAAGAUUGAAUAACCUUCACACGGGUGCCGGCGCCUCAUUAUUUAAAAAUCUAAAACUUCUCGCGAGCAGUCUGCCCGCCGAUAUAUAGGUCACGCUACAUUCUGAAGUCAUGCGUGCCUGCCAGUGUAUAUUUCCCCCUCUACUCCUUCCCUUUCUCUCUCGUUCUCUCUGUGGAUGGGCUCUAGGACUCCCAACUUGGGCCAUCAAAUCCACUGAUCCCCGCCAUAAUGAGACGCUGGCGUGAUCCUAUGUGAAGCUCUGACGCCUUUAACACCUCAAGGCGCCUGCGUCACCGUGGAGCGUCUGCUGUUCUCAGCCUGGUCCUGGGGCGGCCGGUAACCGACUCAGGAACCUAAACCGAUGACGGAUGACUUGCAGUCUUUUGUUGACGCGUCGAUAGAGAGGUUCCCGGAAAGAGACGUGUCACAAAUCAACACGCGGCAUAUUAAUGAAAAUUUGAUGAUGCACGCUGGGAGCGAGAUGAAGUGGCAGAGAGAGAGAGAGAGCCAUAAGAGAGAGAGUGAAAAAAUGCAUCUCAACAAUUACUGGAGGAGUAGAACAAACAAGGCAACAACAGCAGUGGCACUUCAAGCGAGCACUUCGCCUCAUUCCAGGAAGGACCGGUAUUGAACGAAAGCGCCUUGCCACGCCAUUAGUGCAGUCAAACCAAAAAAAGGAAAUGAAUAAUAGAGAAUGUGAUUUCAAAAGUGCCGGAGCAAAGAGCCCCAUUCCUCUUCCUGCUGCUGUAGCCCCGCAUUGAUCUGCCUAUCCCUAGACCUCCGCCCGUGCCACCGCAGCCACGCUACACACGCGCCACACCACAAUAUGCACGACGACGACGCCCGCCACGCAACACACACCCUGCCUCCUGGUCAACCCUUCGGAUCCCCUUAAAACUCCCAUGCAGGUUCAAUCCAGUCCCGUUCCGACAGAACUGACACCCUCUUCCACACAGCCGCUCCAACCUGAGGCAACCGGGAGAAAAGGGAGGAGAGGGGAAAAAGGAAGAAAGAGUAUAUAAAAGGGGAUAGAAGAAAGAGAAGGGAGCAUGUGGUUAUAAUUACACACGGGCUGCACAGUGGUGAAGCCAGGCUGCAGAUCUUAAGCCUGUUUGACAUACUCGGGGUUAAAAAGCACGUCGCCUCAUUAAAUCCCCAACACUGUUUGUGGCCCUCCACACUGAACCUGGUGCUGUGUCUCUGCUCUUUUGUUAUCGCCUUCUCCUCCGGUACUGCUGCUUAUCAAACAUGAAUGUGGCGUAGGACACGGGGUGGACCUAUACAGGACGGAAGUCAAGCGCAUAGUGGAGGACAGCUGGGGGUCCACUUGUUUGUCGUCCCUCUGCAACAUAACUUGGUCUGAAGCUCUCAGCUUGUCAAGAGGGUAAUGGCUUUUGUGA